rnacentral:rRNA from 1 species
AUACAUGCAAGUCGAACGAGAAAGUCACUUCGGUGGCGAGUACAGUGGCGCACGGNGUGAGUAACGCGUAGAUAAUCUACCCUUCAGUCUGGGACAACUCUUGGAAACGGGAGCUAAUACCGGAUAAAACCUUUCGGGUUGAAAGAUUUAUCGCUGGGGGAUGAGUCUGCGUACCAUUAGCUUGUUGGUGGGGUAACGGCCUACCAAGGCGACGAUGGUUAGCGGGUCUGAGAGGACGAUCCGCCACACUGGAACUGAGACACGGUCCAGACUCCUACGGGAGGCAGCAGUAGGGAAUAUUGCGCAAUGGGGGCAACCCUGACGCAGCAAUGCCGCGUGAGUGAAGAAGGCCUUCGGGUCGUAAAGCUCUUUUAUGGGGGAAGAUGAUGACGGUACCCCAUGAAUAAGCACCGGCUAACUACGUGCCAGCAGCCGCGGUAAUACGUAGGGUGCGAGCGUUGUUCGGAAUUACUGGGCGUAAAGGGCGUGCAGGCGGAUUGGCAAGCCGGAGGUGAAAGCCCGGGGCUCAACCCCGGAGGGUCUUUCGGAACUGCCAGUCUUGAGAGGGUCAGGGGCCAGCGGAAUUCCUGGUGUAGAGGUGAAAUUCGUAGAGAUCAGGAGGAACACCGGCGGCGAAAGCGGCUGGCUGGGGCCACUCUGACGCUGAGGCGCGAAAGCGUGGGGAGCAAACAGGAUUAGAUACCCUGGUAGUCCACGCCGUAAACGAUGGGCACUAAGCGUCCGACGGGUUCGACCCUGUUGGGUGCUGCAGUUAACGCGUUAAGUNCCCC